ACUUGGAACCGUCACUGGAUUUCAGGGACAAGCCCUUGGAAAAUGAUCAUUAAAAUGCUAAGGGCCAAGCAUCCCUGGAAAGCAGGCGCCAGCGCGCUUCUGAGUAGUUUACAUCUAUCUGUUGACUCAUCAAAGCCUCAUCGGGAAAAUGCAAUUAGCCCUGUUCUAUAAAUGAGGAAACUGAGGCACAGAGAGGUUCCCUGAGUUAACACCCUUGCAACCCUUGGAGCUGAAACAACCAGAAGUCGGGGGCGGUCCACCACCACCGAGCAUGCCCAGGAAACGUUUGCUGAAUGAGUGCCCCUUAUCUCAGUUCCUAAAAACAGCUCAUUAGACCACACAGGAAUCGAGGUCCCGCGUGUUGAGUGCCAGGUGUGGGUGCUUUGCUGGGCCUCCUGGGGAAGGCUAGACAACACACCAGCCCCAGCGCUCCCCACGCCCACCUCGGGGGUUGCCUAGCAGGGCAGCUCGAGGUCGAGAGAUUCUUGCUGCAGACUCCAGAAGGGGCGCAGGUGAGGCGAGAAGCCAGUGCUUAACUGAAGCUGAGGGUGAGGACGGUUUGUAAUAAGGCGCAUUAGCGCUCCAGGCGGCCCCGAAAGACGUGGGGCCGCUACUCAAGCUCACGGCUACUGAAGGCCCUUUGCAGACGCGCCGGCCUAGGUGUGGCACCGGCUUCCAAAACUAGACUGUGCCGGCUCUGGUUUGGGACGGGCACACCCGGCUCCGAGGGAAAGGGCUCGCCCCGUAAGCCUGCAUCGCCUGGGAGAUGGUUCUGGAGCCUUCCAUGGUGAGCCCGAGGGUCCACUGAAGGGGACCAAGAACCAGCAGCGAUAGGUCUCACGGGGUUCGGCGAGGAAAGACACUGGGCUGUUCCGAGCACAGCGACCUAGAUGGAGACGGGCCUUGACUCAGGCCGGCUUGGGUCCGGUCACGCUAACAGGGAGGCCUUGGGCACCCUUCCCCGGAGGAUGGCGUAGGCUCUGGCCUGGCCGCCGCAGUGACAAGCCAGGGAAGGGGCGAAUCUUCAAAGGGAGCCAGCAGAGCAAACACCAUAUGGCAAACACCCUUCUGAGACAUUGCACACACAGCGGUAGAGUCGGAGGAACGAUUAUG